rnacentral:tRNA from 1 species
GGGCGAAUGGUUUAGUGGUAUAAUACUCCCUUAGCACUGUUCAUUCGAAUAAUUGGGAGUGGUCCAGGGUUCGAUUCCCUGUUCGUCCA